rfam:Myotis lucifugus cont2.18010, whole genome shotgun sequence.
CACCGUUUCAGUGGCAUUUAAAUCCCCGGCGCUCCUCUGUCCGGGUGACGCGCAGUCGCCCCCCCAGGCAGCCCGGGCGGCGGCCGCAGCGGCGGUGGCUGCGAGGGCAGAUCCCGAGCGCUGGG